GUGAGGAAUAUUGCACAAUGGGCGAAAGCCUGAUGCAGCAACGCCGCGUGAGUGAUGAAGGCCUUUGGGUCGUAAAACUCUGUCCUUGGGGAAGAAAAAAAUGACGGUACCCUUGGAGGAAGCCCCGGCUAACUACGUGCCAGCAGCCGCGGUAAUACGUAGGGGGCAAGCGUUAUCCGGAAUUAUUGGGCGUAAAGAGUGCGUAGGUGGUUUUGUAAGCGUAGGGUGAAAGGCAGUAGCUCAACUAUUGUUAGCCCUGCGAACUGUGAGACUUGAGUGCAGGAGAGGAAAGUUGAAUUCCUAGUGUAGCGGUGAAAUGCGUAGAUAUUAGGAGGAACAACAGUGGCGAAGGCGACUUUCUGGACUGUAACUGACACUGAGGCACGAAAGCGUGGGUAGCAAACAGGAUUAGAUACCCGAGUAGUCC
rnacentral:rRNA from 1 species